AAGUCAAUGGUUCGUUUCUUGGCACUGUGAGGCCAGCCCCAUUUGCCAUGUCCUCUUUCGGACCUUGUAGGCGCCAAAUAUCCCUCUACAGCUCUCCUCUUUCCUUUCUCGAACUGGGUUCUUUCCGUUCAAAAGGAUUCUCCAAGCUUGCCUUCAAUCUAAUUCAGCAAAUAAGGAUCUUGGAGUUCAGCUACCUGCUCAUCAAUCUGAAAUCAUAUUUAUUGGGACGGGAACUAGUGAAGGGAUUCCUCGUGUGAGCUGCCUAACAGAUCCUUUAAAGAAAUGUCCGGUUUGCACCAAAGCUGUGGAACCUGGUAAUAAAAAUAGGAGAC